GAAACGGCUACCACAUCCAAGGAAGGCAGCAGGCACGCAAAUUACCCAAUCCCGGCUCGGGGAGGUAGUGACGAAAAAUAACAAUGCGGGACUCAUCCGAGUCUACGUAAUUGGAAUGAGCACACUUUAAAUCCUAUAGCGACAACCCAUUGGAGGGCAAGUCUGGUGCCAGCAGCCGCGGUAAUUCCAGCUCCAAUAGCAUAUAUUAAAGUUGUUGCGGUUAAAAAGCUCGUAGUUCGAGUUCCGUUCCGGACUGGUCGGGGGGGUCACCGCCCGGUGCCUGCCCGCCAGCCUCCGGACAGCUCAAGCCCCGCCGGUUCUACGCCGGGGUGCUCUUCGCCGAGUGUCCCGCGCGGCCGGCACGUUUACCUUGAACAAAUAAGAGUGCUCAAGGCAGGCUACUCUUCAAACCUAUGCCCGAAAGAUAACUGCAUGGAAUAAUGAAAAAGGAUCUCGGCCUCAUUUCUGAUUGGCUCUGGGGGCCGAGAUAAUGAUAAAAAGAGACUGUCGGGGGCAUCCGUACUACGACGCGAGAGGUGAAAUUCUAUGACCGUCGUAGGACGAACAACAGCGAAAGCAUUUGCCAAGAAUGUCUUCAUUGAUCAAGAACGAAAGUUAGAGGAUCGAAGGCGAUCAGAUACCGCCCUAGUUCUAACCCUAAACGAUGCUGACUAGCAAUCCGCCGUCGUUAUUCCCAUGACGUGGCGGGCCGCCCCCGGGAAACCUCAAGUCUUUGAGUUCCGGGGGUAGUAUGGUUGCAAAACUGAAACUUAAAGGAAUUGACGGAAGGGCACCACCAGGAGUGGAGCCUGCGGCUUAAUUUGACUCAACACGGGAAACCUCACCAGGCCCAGACACUAGCAGGAUUGACAGAUUAAGAGCUCUUUCUCGAUUUGGUGGGUGGUGGUGCAUGGCCGUUCUUAGUUGGUGGAGUGAUUUGUCUGGUUAAUUCCGGUAACGAACGAGACUCUGGCCUACUAAAUAGUCGACGUGGUGGUUCGUUCGCAUGGCCACGUUCGAAUCUAUCUUCUUAGAGGGAUGAGCAGCAAGUGCAGCUGCAGGAGAUUGAGCAAUAACAGGUCUGUGAUGCCCUUAGAUGUUCUGGGCCGCACGCGCGCUACACUGAAAGGGUUAGCGGGUCCACCUUCUCCGAGAGGAGCGGGAAAUCGCUGCAAAACCUUUCAUGAUUGGGAUUGGGGCUUGCAAUUGUUCCCCAUGAACGAGGAAUUCCCAGUAAGCGCAAGUCAUCAGCUUGCGUUGAUUAAGUCCCUGCCCUUUGUACACACCGCCCGUCGCUACUACCGAUUGAAUGAUUUAGUGAGGCCUUCGGACUGGCGGCUUGGACUGGGCUCCGCUCGUCACCCCGGGCUUGCUCGGGGCCGGCGGACUCGCCUCGACUCGCCGGAAAGAUGUCCAAACUUGAUCAUUUAGAGGAAGUAAAAGUCGUAACAAGGUUUCC
rnacentral:rRNA from 1 species